rnacentral:rRNA from 1 species
CAGCCGCCGCGGUAAUACGAAGGGGGCUAGCGUUGCUCGGAAUUACUGGGCGUAAAGGGCGCGUAGGCGGACAGUUAAGUUGGGGGUGAAAGCCCGGGGCUCAACCUCGGAAUUGCCUUCAAUACUGGCUGUCUUGAGUAUGAGAGAGGUGUGUGGAACUCCGAGUGUAGAGGUGAAAUUCGUAGAUAUUCGGAAGAACACCAGUGGCGAAGGCGACACACUGGCUCAUUACUGACGCUGAGGCGCGAAAGCGUGGGGAGCAAACAGGAUUAGAUACCCCGGUAGUCCCUGUCUCUUAUAA